UACGUAGGGUGCGAGCGUUAAUCGGAAUUACUGGGCGUAAAGCGUGCGCAGGGCGGUUGUGUAAAGACAGGUGUGAAAUCCCCGGGCUUAACCUGGGAACUGCGCUUGUGACUGCACGGCUAGAGUACGGUAGAGGGGGGUGAAUUCCACGUGUAGCAGUGAAAUGCGUAGAUAUGUGGAGGAACACCAAUGGCGAAGGCAGCCCCCUGGGCCGAUACUGACGCUCAUGCACGAAAGCGUGGGGAGCAAACAGGAUUAGAUACCC
rnacentral:rRNA from 1 species